UAGGGAAUCUUCGGCAAUGGACGAAAGUCUGACCGAGCAACGCCGCGUGAGUGAAGAAGGUUUUCGGAUCGUAAAACUCUGUUGUUAGAGAAGAACAAGGACGUUAGUAACUGAACGUCCCCUGACGGUAUCUAACCAGAAAGCCACGGCUAACUACGUGCCAGCAGCCGCGGUAAUACGUAGGUGGCAAGCGUUGUCCGGAUUUAUUGGGCGUAGAGCGAGCGCAGGCGGUUUCUUAAGUCUGAUGUGAAAGCCCCCGGCUCAACCGGGGAGGGUCAUUGGAAACUGGGAGACUUGAGUGCAGAAGAGGAGAGUGGAAUUCCAUGUGUAGCGGUGAAAUGCGUAGUUAUAUGGAGGAACACCAGUGGCGAAGGCGGCUCUCUGGUCUGUAACUGACGCUGAGGCUCGAAAGCGUGGGGAGCAAACAGG
rnacentral:rRNA from 1 species